GACGGACCGCUGGUGUACCGGUUGUCAUGCCAAUGGCACCGCCGGGUAGCUACGUCGGGAAGGGAUAAGCGCUGAAAGCAUAUAAGCGCGAAACCCACCACAAGAUGAGAUUUCUUUAAAGGGCCGUGGGAGACUACCACGUCGAUAGGCCGCAGGUGCAGGGGCAGCAAUGUCCGUAGCCGAGCGGUACUAAUAGCCCGUAAGCUUAUGUACGCC
rnacentral:rRNA from 1 species